AAUUUGACUCAACACGGGGAAACUCACCAGGUCCAGACACAAUAAGGAUUGACAGAUUGAUAGCUCUUUCUUGAUUUUGUGGGUGGUGGUGCAUGGCCGUUCUUAGUUGGUGGAGUGAUUUGUCUGCUUAAUUGCGAUAACGAACGAGACCUUGACCUACUAAAUAGCUCUACUUGCGAUUGCAGGUAGCUAGCUUCUUAGAGGGACUAUCUAUUACAAGUAGAUGGAAGUUCGAGGCAAUAACAGGUCUGUGAUGCCCUUAGACGUUCUGGGCCGCACGCGCGCUACACUGACGGAGCCAGCGAGUCGACCAAGCCCGAGAGGGCUAGGUAAUCUUGUGAAACUCCGUCGUGCUGGGGAUAGAGCAUUGCAAUUAUUGCUCUUCAACGAGGAAUUCCUAGUAAGCGCAAGUCAUCAGCUUGCGUUGAUUACGUCCCUGCCCUUUGUACACACCGCCCGUCGCUACUACCGAUUGAAUGGUUUAGUGAGACCU
rnacentral:rRNA from 1 species